GAGGUGUUGAAACGGGAUCGAGGUCCCUCUCCAGACACCAGCUAACCCAACUCCGCCAAGCGGAGAGGUAGGUUCGUCUGGUUCCUGGAGCCCACGAGUCCCAGAGGAGUGUUUGAGCUGUGCGUGAAAGACCUGUGACAUUCCAAGCUCCCCUGAAACUGUCCAAGCUACCAGUUGAAGAUGGCCCUGUAGGGCAAGAGGAUGGUAAUCGCCCAUUGGGUUCCUGAGGACUCGAAAGGAGCGAGGAAGAAGGAUGGGAUAGUCUACUGAUAGUUCCAGGAGGGUAGGGAACCAGGUCUGGGC